UGCCGAUGGAGGUGUUGAUGGAUGUCCACC
rnacentral:piRNA from 1 species